UCCUUUAAUGCCUCUGGGAAAUCCC
rnacentral:piRNA from 1 species